AAUUUAAUAUAUUACGGCGUAAACCGUCGAACCGUGUCAGGGUGGGAACACAGCAGCACUAAGGCGUCACUUUAUGGGUGUUUUAUAUUAAAUGGGA
rnacentral:SRP_RNA from 1 species